rnacentral:rRNA from 1 species
UACGUAGGGUCCAAGCGUUGUCCGGAAUCAUUGGGCGUAAAGAGCGUAUAGGCGGUUCGGUAAGUCGGCUGUGAAAGUCCAGGGCUCGAACCCUGGGAUGCCGGUCGAUACUGCCGGACUAGAGUUCGGAAGAGGCGAGUGGAAUUCCCCGGUGUAGCGGUGAAAUGCGCAGAUAUCGGGAGGAACACCUAUGGCGAAGGCAGCUCGCUGGGACGUUACUGACGCUGAGACGCGAAAGCGUGGGGAGCAAACAGG